AAAGACUUAGUCCUAACCUUACCGUUAAUUCUUGCUAGACAUAUACAUGCAAGUAUCUGCACUCCAGUGUGAAUGCCCUCCACGCCCUACUAGGGUAUGAGGAGCGGGUAUCAGGCACACCCAUUAGACUGUAGCCCAAGACGCCUUGCUUAGCCACACCCCCACGGGUACUCAGCAGUAAUUAACAUUAAGCAAUAAGUGUAAACUUGACUUAGUUAUAGCAACACUAAGGGUCGGUAAAUCUUGUGCCAGCCACCGCGGUCACACAAGAGACCCAAAUUAACAGUAACGCGGCGUAAAGAGUGGCACCACGUUAUCCUAGCAACUAAGAUCGAAAUGCAGCUGAGCUGUCAUAAGCCUAGGAUGCACUUAAGACCACCCUUAAGACGAUCUUAGCCCUCAGGACCAAUUGAACUCCACGAAAGCUAGGGUACAAACUGGGAUUAGAUACCCCACUAUGCCUAGCCCUAAAUCUUGAUACUUUUUUCACUAAAGUAUCCGCCUGAGAACUACGAGCACAAACGCUUAAAACUCUAAGGACUUGGCGGUGCCUUAAACCCACCUAGAGGAGCCUGUUCUAUAACCGAUAACCCACGAUACACCCAACCACCUCUUGCUAAAGCACCCUACAUACCGCCGUCGCCAGUCCACCUUCCUUGAGAGUAUAACAGUGGGCAUAAUAGCCUCAACCUCGCUAACAAGACAGGUCAAGGUAUAGCUUAUGGGGUGGAAGAAAUGGGCUACAUUUUCUAACAUAGAAAACUUUUCACGGAAGUGGGUGUGAAAUCGCCCACAGAAGGCGGAUUUAGCAGUAAAGAGAGAUAAUAGAGCUCUCUUUAAGUCGGCUCUGGGGCACGUACAUACCGCCCGUCACCCUCCUCACAAGCUACAAGCCUUUAUAACUAAUACCCAAAUUAGCUGAAGAUGAGGUAAGUCGUAACAAGGUAAGUGUACCGGAAGGUGCACUUAGCAUAC
rnacentral:ncRNA from 1 species